rnacentral:rRNA from 1 species
GUGGUAAUGCCGGAUGCUCCAGUUGACCGCAUGGUCCUCUGGGAAAGCUUUUGCGGUAUGGGAUGGGGUCGCGUCCUAUCAGCUUGAUGGCGGGGUAACGGCCCACCAUGGCUUCGACGGGUAGCCGGCCUGAGAGGGCGACCGGCCACAUUGGGACUGAGAUACGGCCCAGACUCCUACGGGAGGCAGCAGUGGGGAAUAUUGCACAAUGGGCGCAAGCCUGAUGCAGCGACGCCGCGUGCGGGAUGACGGCCUUCGGGUUGUAAACCGCUUUUGACUGGGAGCAAGCCCUUCGGGGUGAGUGUACCUUUCGAAUAAGCACCGGCUAACUACGUGCCAGCAGCCGCGGUAAUACGUAGGGUGCAAGCGUUAUCCGGAAUUAUUGGGCGUAAAGGGCUCGUAGGCGGUUCGUCGCGUCCGGUGUGAAAGUCCAUCGCUUAACGGUGGAUCCGCGCCGGGUACGGGCGGGCUUGAGUGCGGUAGGGGAGACUGGAAUUCCCGGUGUAACGGUGGAAUGUGUAGAUAUC